AUUGAACGCUGGCGGCAUGCCUUACACAUGCAAGUCGAACGGUAACAGGUCUUCGGAUGCUGACGAGUGGCGAACGGGUGAGUAAUACAUCGGAACGUGCCCGAUCGUGGGGGAUAACGAAGCGAAAGCUUUGCUAAUACCGCAUAAGAUCUACGGAUGAAAGCAGGGGACCGCAAGGCCUUGCGCGAACGGAGCGGCCGAUGGCAGAUUAGGUAGUUGGUGGGAUAAAAGCUUACCAAGCCGACGAUCUGUAGCUGGUCUGAGAGGACGACCAGCCACACUGGGACUGAGACACGGCCCAGACUCCUACGGGAGGCAGCAGUGGGGAAUUUUGGACAAUGGGCGAAAGCCUGAUCCAGCCAUGCCGCGUGCAGGAUGAAGGCCUUCGGGUUGUAAACUGCUUUUGUACGGAACGAAAAGACUCUUUCUAAUAAAGAGGGUCCAUGACGGUACCGUAAGAAUAAGUACCGGCUAACUACGUGCCAGCAGCCGCGGUAA
rnacentral:rRNA from 1 species